GAUGAACGCUGGCGGCGUGCUUAACACAUGCAAGUCGAACGAAGCAUUUGCGACAGAUUUUUUCGGAAUGAAGUUGCUUAUGACUGAGUGGCGGACGGGUGAGUAACGCGUGGGUAACCUGCCUUGUACUGGGGGAUAGCAGCUGGAAACGGCUGGUAAUACCGCAUAAGCGCACAAUGUUGCAUGACAUGGUGUGAAAAACUCCGGUGGUAUAAGAUGGACCCACGUCUGAUUAGCUAGUUGGUGAGAUAACAGCCCACCAAGGCGACGAUCAGUAGCCGACCUGAGAGGGUGACCGGCCACAUUGGGACUGAGACACGGCCCAGACUCCUACGGGAGGCAGCAGUGGGGAAUAUUGCACAAUGGAGGAAACUCUGAUGCAGCGACGCCGCGUGAGUGAAGAAGUAAUUCGUUAUGUAAAGCUCUAUCAGCAGGGAAGAUAGUGACGGUACCUGACUAAGAAGCUCCGGCUAAAUACGUG
rnacentral:rRNA from 1 species